AGUGAACGCUGGCGGUAGGCCUAACACAUGCAAGUCGAACGGCAACACAGGAGAGCUUGCUCUCUGGGUGGCGAGUGGCGGACGGGUGAGGAAUACAUCGGAAUCUACUUUUUCGUGGGGGAUAACGUAGGGAAACUUACGCUAAUACCGCAUACGACCUAUGGGUGAAAGCAGGGGACCUUCGGGCCUUGCGCGAUUGAAUGAGCCGAUGUCGGAUUAGCUAGUUGGCGGGGUAAAGGCCCACCAAGGCGACGAUCCGUAGCUGGUCUGAGAGGAUGAUCAGCCACACUGGAACUGAGACACGGUCCAGACUCCUACGGGAGGCAGCAGUGGGGAAUAUUGGACAAUGGGCGCAAGCCUGAUCCAGCCAUACCGCGUGGGUGAAGAAGGCCUUCGGGUUAUAAAGCCCUUUUGUUGGGAAAGAAAUCCAGCUGGCUAAUACCCGGUUGGGAUGACGGUACCCAAAGAAUAAGCACCGGCUAACUUCGUGCCAGCCGCCGCCGUAA
rnacentral:rRNA from 1 species